rnacentral:rRNA from 1 species
AAACAAUGAUAUUCCUUCACUUGAAUAUCCGCCUGGGAACUACGAACGUUAGUUUAAAACCCAAAGGACCUGGCGGUGCUUAACAUCCCCCUAGAGGAGCCUGUUCUAGAACCGAUAAUCCCCGUUAAACCUCACCCUCUCUUGCAAUUUUCUGCCUAUAUACCGCCGUCGUCAGCUCACCCUGUUAAGGUUAAAAAGUAAGCAAAAUUGGUAUAACCUAAAACGUCAGGUCGAGGUGUAGUAUAUGAGGGGGGAAGAAAUGGGCUACAUUGACUAAAAUAGUCUAAAACGAAAAGCACGUUGAAACACGUACUCGAAGGUGGAUUUAGUAGUAAGUAAAAAAUAGAGCGUUAC